UGCAGGCUGAUGACCUCUGGAUCAGGCACCAGUUCCCUGUGACCUUUCUGAGGAUUAAGAGGGUCCUGCUUCCCCCGGCUCUGAGGUGAAACGUGCUGCGGAAACCGGCGGCAGACAGACAGCACUUGGCAUGUUCAGCGGGGGUGGGGACGGCUCCUUUCAGGCCAUGCCAAGACUUGGCAUCACCUCUCCAACACAGGGAUAAUGGUGGGGGCUUUAGCAGACCUUCAACCCGUCACCCUGCUAUCCAAUCAACCUGUUAAUAAAUACAGAUUUCUGGAUGAACAAAAUUACUUGAGAAAGAAGUUUUCCCUAUGUUCCAACUAGAACCAGAAGCACACAAUCCUGGUCCAGUUACUGCUUAAUGAGCAGGGCAGCCAACGUCAAAGUCAUAUGUCAGAAUCAGAGUGGCGCAGGUGUCAGUUCAAGUCUGCCUUUUCCACGAAGCGCUGCGCCUCUCCCAAAGAUGGAUCCCAAACAGCAGGAUUGCACCGUGCAGCACCAGCAUGCAGCUAAACGACAACCUGCGUUGUCCUCGCCCUCGGUUUCCUCGGGCCCUGCAGACCUGCUGGGAGGUAAUGUCAUAAAAACAAAGCUGCUGCAGAAAAAGCCCAUGUUUUCAUACAGAGGCCCAGCAGCUACAGAGCGGACUGAUGGGACUUGCUCGGCAUACAGCAGCCCUCAGAUUCCAAAAAGGGAGUUUCCUCGUUCUAAAGACACGUUAGACCUCCACAAUGGCUCCCUAACUCAAAAGGCUUUCAGAGACCUGCAGUUAAGGAGAAAGGGCAACAAGAACUGGACCUUUGGGAAGUAUCGACUCAGGAGUGUUGAUAAUGAACAAGAAGGCGACGCUUUGCGAAACAUCUCAGCUGAUGUCCAGCCAGGCCACAGACGAGCUCAUCUUCUUUAUACUAAAGGGACAAAUGGGAAUGAUGCAUCACGGCUGUCCUCGGCUGGACUGGAUCACCUCCACAAAGAAGCGAGCAACAGCUCAAAUCAGGAUCUUGGAACUUCAGUUCGAGAGAUGCUCAUCAACAAACCAAAGGGUUCGUCUGAGGCUUUGAGCGUGAAACGCAGGGGGAGUGAGCCAGGGAGAGUUAACAUGGCUGCUGUGGCUCCAUUUAAGUUCAGGUUUCAGGUCAGUGAAGACACAGAUGUAACCCUUGAUGACCUGAGCGACUGCUCCUCGGACUCCAUGGAGGUCUGUUGUGAUGAUUUAGGUUAG
rnacentral:lncRNA from 1 species